rnacentral:rRNA from 1 species
GGUCAGUAGGUUGGUCGUGCCACCGGUACGUACUGGUCUCACUGAUUCCUCCUUCCUGAAGAACCGUAAUGCCAUUAAUUUGGUGUUGCGGGGAAACAGGACUGUUACUUUGAAAAAAUUAGAGUGUUUAAAGCAGGCUAACGCUUGAAUACAUUAGCAUGGAAUAAUGAAAUAGGACGAUCGAUCCUAUUUUGUUGGUUUCUAGGAUUGACGUA